rnacentral:tRNA from 2 species
GCCCGCCUGGCGAAAUCAGCAGACGCGCCGGAUUUCCAAUCCGGUAACCGCGAGGAUGUGGGGUUCAAUUCCCCCCGGCGGGCA